AGUGGGCUCCCGGGCAGAGAGUACUUGGAGAGAGAGUGGCCGCACAGUGCUCGAGCUGGGGCUGUGUGUACGACCGGCAGGAUCACGUGCUGAGCCUUGGGGGACUCAGCUGGGACCAUUAGAAGCUCUGGGGCCUGCUCCACCCAUUCUGACUGGUGCUGCCCUCAGGAAACCAUCUCUGCCUGAAACCCAUUAGGGCCAGGGAGAGUUGUCUGGCUGGAAAGGAAGAAGACGGAUGCUGGUGGUUUUUUGUCUUUCGCUUGUUGUUUUAGAGCCACUGAGAAGAUGACGGAGCCCUGCGACCAGGAACCUGACUCUUCAGCUCAAAUCUUGGUUUGAAAGGGGGACUUCUCUGUGCCCCUGUUGUCGGCAUGCCAUGGUAGAGAAUGGAUGGCCCACGCAGCUGGCCCCUCAUGAGACCCCAGCCAUCUCAUUCCACUGGGAGCCACGUCAGGACGAAGGAGGACUGGGAGGGGCGUCUGGCUGCGUGGUGUGGGGCCUGCAGUGUUGUGGCACACGCAGCUUCAGCCAAACAUCUAGCCCUGUACCUAGAACUAAGAAAUAAAACUAUAACAUCAGAUUUAAAAGUUCUCUGGGAACAUUUGUCCUGCCCAAAAUAGUAACUUGUCAUUUUUAAAAGAAUAAAACAGAGCUUUGAUAAGCCCCGUGGAUGCACCUGACACGAGAGAAUCAAUGGUGCAGGUGGAUUUGGGCUCAAGGUGGUUUUCAACACCCAGGUGAUGUCUAGGUGACUGGAAAGGGUGUCUGUUGGACUUGCACCUUUUUUCCCUGUGGAAGCUAUUUUUAUGCAGUUUUGUAUUUGUUCUCAGAACAAAUUGGCCAAAAACACUACCUUUAAGUGUGACUUGAUUUUUAGUGUACAUUUUCAGAUGUUAUGGGAAAUGCAUUCACAGUUGAGGUGUCAAAGCAGGGGAAGAUGGCUUCCUUGGCAAUAACAAGCAAAGGCAAACAUGUUUAUUUUUGUAUCUGUAAAAGCUGGUCGCUCUUUAAGUGUAGUUCCAGCAUCUAAAGUGGACACAGAACCUGUUCUUCAGGGCCUGUCACACCCUCACUGUCCAUGUGAGAGUUUGUCCCUCCUUGUGGAUACUGGGGGCAGGAGCUGCCUUCAGGCACACAGGCAUCAGCUGCCACCCUUCAGGGAGGGCUGGGGGCCAGUGGGCAAGUGGCUGCUGUUCCUCAGAGCAGCUCGUCAAAGGCAGCCCAGUUGGUCACAGGCAUUUUGGGAGGAGGAGACAGAAGUUCAAGGUCAAAGACAAGGUCGCAGUUGUGGAAGUGGGAGGGGCCCAGAGCACUGUGGGUGAGCAGCUGGGGAGCUUGGGGUGAGACUCUGCUGGGCCCUACCCAGCUGUGUUGCUUCCCUGCUUUCUGCCUCAGUUUCUUGCGUAACAAAAGCAGGUGGCAAGAUGAGGAGUUGAACACGAGGCCUGCGAGAGCUCUGAACUCUGCAAAGGGCUUCUCCACUGGAAACGUGUUGUGUGCUGCAGCCCUGGGUCUGUUUGAAAUGCAGGUUCUAUCAGCGGGGCUGGGCUGCUUCCCUCCCAGGGACAGGUCUACCGGGCAGCCUUGGGCAGUGGAUCUCUGAGGUGCUUCAUCCAGCUGCCUGUCCCCACACAUGCUCUGCACAGGGGGAGAGGACGCGAGGAAUGGGGAGCCGAUGCCCAUCAGGAAGGCCAGGAGCUGAAAGCAGCUUCCAGCCAGGAAGGAGGGAAGGGCCAGGCUCCAGGUUGGCAGCAGAGAGAAGCUCUUCCCCAAGCAGGAGGCAGGGGCACAGUCGCUGAUGAGGGAGGAUGGGGAGGAGACCCUCCUUGUUGGGAGAGGGGAGGUAGAUCCGAUCUGCUGAGUUUAGGGGAAGGGCACACCUACCGGACUUUGGAAGCAGAGAUGUAGGGUUGCUCCCUCCCUUUGAGACCUGUCACCAGCUGGCCGCAGCGCUGUAUGGAGAUGAGGCCUUCUUGAGGGCUCACAGCGGCAUGUCACCGUGUCCCUGGUGACCUGGGUGUGCAAUGCACCCAAGCACGCAGGGUCCCCCGGUGCCCAGAGCGUGAUGCCUGCCUUGGCGUGUGUGGCAUCGGGACCACAGCUUCCGCAGACAUCCCAGCUGGGGACAUCGGCUGACUUGGCUGAGGGACCAGGGGACAGACACCACCUCUCCUAUCCCCCAGGGGCGUGUGACCUGGGGUCCCUGGCAUGCUUGGUGCACACACCAGUCUACGGUCAGUGUACGCAGGGCUUGUCUGUGGGUGUCAUUGCCACACAGACUGAGCCUUCAGGGUGGCGCCCCUUCCUGGCCCACCCCCGCAGGCUGCUUCUCCGGUCGCAGCCCAUGUUCUAAUGUCGAGAUCGCGCGUGAGGUUCAGACCUUUGAACAGCCUGACUGUAGGAGCCGCCUUCCAGCCCGCUGGAAACGUGCGUGUGAGGCCGGGUUCUUACCCUCAGCACUGCUGACGUUCUGCGCUGGACAUUUCUUUGCUGUGGGGCAUCUGCAUGUGGAGAGCUAUCGGUGCCCCGGCCUCUGCUGUCUAGAUACCAGGAGCUUCCCCCCAACUUGUGCCAAUUAGAAUGUCUCCAGACAUCACCACAUGUCUGCUGGGGGCAGAACCACGGGGCUAAGUUGUGGCUGUCCCCUGUGGUGGGCUCUCUGUUGUGAUGAGGAAGGGCUGGGCCUGCAGGUGGACGUCCGGCCCCCUGACAAAGCUUGUAUGAGGGGACCCAAGAGCCUGUGGUGCCUCUGCCAAGCUCACUGGCAGGAACUGGGGGUCAGGCUCACUUCCUCCAGGGAGUGGGGAGCAGCCCUGCCAUUUGCGGUGCCAUAGAGACAGUUAAGCUUGAGAAUGUGAUUGCCGUUCUGAAAACACCCAGAGGCCGCAGUGUGCCCGGCAGAGAGCAAGGACCCCUGACCACCGGCUGGGUUGGUCCUGGGAGGGCCCCGGUGAUACCUGGGGGGUGUACACCAUGGAGCAGAGCCUCCUCCAGUGUAGCCUGGGAGCCUCUGUGAGGCCACAGCCCCCAGGAAGAGCACAGUGCUGCAUUCCCAGGUGCUGCCGGCUGCGCCCCUCCCAGCUGCGUGUCCUCACCUGCCGGCCCCAGCUGUCGCUGCCCACGCCCUGCCUGCCUCUCCUGACAGGAACUUCCCAAGCAGAGGCCUCAGGUAGCAGGCGCUCCUUGUCCCCUCUGCCACCUGGGCUGCUGAGGGUGUAUCACCAGGAGUGAGCUCAGGACCUGGACACCCAAGCCCAGACCACUGAACUUUCGUUCUGAGGCACAAUGGGGCGUUCCCGUCAGGCUCUGCCCCCCUAGACAGAGGUGAGACCAGCUACGGCACAGCUCUUGGCAGCUGGGUGCCCCUCUGAGAUGGGCCAGGCAGCACGCUCAUGGCACCUUCAUGUGGCUUCAAUUCUCUGGCCAUUGCAUUCCUAACCAAAAUAUAAACUUCAGGAUCGUUUUGGAUUUUGCAUUACCCAAACCAUUUGCUUUUGAUAAUAACAGUGUCUUGGCAGAGUUCUUGCUCUUGGACUCCGUGUGGUGAUGGUGACCGCCGUGCACGGAACCCAUGGCAUGGGCAUCCGCCACUGUGCUUGUUAACUGAGGAGGAGGUGCAGUCGCUGCCCGGAAGGCACAGGCAGUGGCCAGGGGCAGCAGUGAGACCACACCGUUGUGAAACUCAUGCUCCUAACAACUCGCCUGCACCUCUCCUCUUGGCUCUGCAAGUCUUUGCAUGGAACAGCUGAUUUAACGUGGGCCCAGGGCAGCAGGGGACCCUAAAGCAAGCCUCCUGGGUGGGGGGAGGCAGUGGCAUGUCACUGGGACUCCCCUGUCCUGUUGGCCUUCUGUGGUGGAUUUGGGGGCCAGUGGCCCGCUGAGGGCAGGACACACCCUGGCAAGGGAGCGGGCGUGGGCGGGAGGGCAUGUUGCUGCAGUCUAGGGCAUGUGAGCUUGGCCUCCAGAGAUGAGCUCAUCCUCCCUGGGCCUUGCUGAGCGUCUGAGGCUUCUUCACCGAGGCUCACCUGAGUGACUUCAGCGCCGGGGGUUUACCAAGGAAAAACGUUCCCCUCCAGUUUGAAAAAAAAAAAAAAAA
rnacentral:lncRNA from 1 species